UUUUAUUGCAUAGCUAAGUAUUAUUUAAGAAACUUAAUUUUUCCUGGUUCUUUUGAAUUUGCAUCUUUUCACAUGGAUUUCUAAAAGCUACGUAAUGGUAGGGUCUUUGGCUCGAUUAAGGUGUUGAGAUCUAGCAGAAAAACAUCUAUGGAGUUUCUGGAGUUUCUUUAACGGUCAAUUGUUGCCACCUUCUUAAGGUUGUUGGUUUUUUAGAUUUUCCUUAGAAUUCUUGCCUUGUCCAGUGUGAAGCAGGUGGUGAAUGGGUUUCAUAUUGCUACUGGAUCUAGAAUUUUUUUUAUUAGGUAUUGGGCUUCUCUUUUGCUCUUAUUUGUGGGGUGUGAUUAGCUGUUUACUUAUAUAGCCUCGUUGAGUAGUGGUUGGACCAGCAUUUAAAAAAA
rnacentral:lncRNA from 1 species